rnacentral:rRNA from 1 species
CCUACGGGUGGCAGCAGUGAGGAAUAUUGGUCAAUGGUCGAGAGACUGAACCAGCCAAGCAGCGUGAGGGAGGAAGGUACAGAGGGUCGUAAACCUCUUUUGUAAGGGAAUAAAGCGAGGCACGUGUGCCUGGAUGCGUGUACUUGAUGAAUAAGGAUCGGCUAACUCCGUGCCAGCAGCCGCGGUAAUACGGAGGAUGCGAGCGUUAUCCGGAUUUAUUGGGUUUAAAGGGUGCGUAGAUGGGUUGUUAAGUCAGUGGGGAAAGUUUGCGGCUCAACCGUGAAACUGCAAUUGAUACUGGCAGUCUUGAGUACAGUUGAGGUAGGCGGAAUGCGUGGUGUAGCGGUGAAAUGCUUAGAUAUCACGAAGAACCCCGAUUGCGAAGGCAGCUUACUAACCUGUGACUGACAUUGAUGCUCGAAAGUGUGGGUAUCAAACAGGAUUAGAUACCCGAGUAGUC